rnacentral:rRNA from 1 species
AGUUUGAUCCUGGCUCAGGAUGAACGCUGGCGGUCUGCUUAACACAUGCAAGUCGAACGGAGUGCUUCGGCACUUAGUGGCGGACGGGUGAGUAACGCGUGAGAAUCUGCCCUUAGGACGGGGACAACAGCUGGAAACGGCUGCUAAUACCCGAUGUGCCGAGAGGUGAAACAUUUUAUGACCUGAGGAUGAGCUCGCGUCUGAUUAGCUAGUUGGUGGGGUAAGAGCCUACCAAGGCGACGAUCAGUAGCUGGUCUGAGAGGAUGAUCAGCCACACUGGGACUGAGACACGGCCCAGACUCCUACGGGAGGCAGCAGUGGGGAAUUUUCCGCAAUGGGCGCAAGCCUGACGGAGCAAGACCGCGUGCGGGAGGACGGCCUAUUGGUUGUAAACCGCUUUUGAUAGGGAAGAAGUACUGACGGUACCUAUCGAAUCAGCAUCGGCUAACUCCGUGCCAGCAGCCGCGGUAAUACGGAGGAUGCAAGCGUUAUCCGGAAUUAUUGGGCGUAAAGCGUCCGUAGGUGGUUGUUCAAGUCUGCUGUUAAAGCGUGCGGCUUAACCGCAUACCAGCAGUGGAAACUGGGCGACUAGAGUGCGGUAGGGGUCAGGGGAAUUCCCGGUGUAGCGGUGUAAUGCGUAGGUAUUGGGAAGAACACCGGUGGCGAAAGCGCCUGACUGGACCUGCACUGACACUGAGGGACGAAAGCUAGGGGAGCGAAAGGGAUUAGACACCCCUGUAGUCCUAGCCGUAAACGAUGGACACUAGGUGUUGCCCGUAUCGACCCGGGCAGUGCCGUAGCCAACGCGUUAAGUGUCCCGCCUGGGGAGUACGCUCGCAGAGUGAAACUCAANGAAUUGANGGGGGCCCGCACAGCGUGAGUAUGUGGUUUA